rnacentral:rRNA from 1 species
UACGGGGGGGGCAAGCGUUGUUCGGAAUUACUGAGCGUAAAGGGUCUGUAGGUGGCUUGCUAAGUCAGACGUGAAAUCCCUCGGCUUAACCGGGGAACUGCGUCUGAUACUGGCGAGCUUGAGUGCAGGAGAGGAACGCGGAAUUCCAGGUGUAGCGGUGAAAUGCGUAGAUAUCUGGAGGAACACCGGUGGCGAAGGCGGCGUUCUGGACUGCAACUGACACUGAGAGACGAAAGCCAGGGGAGCAAACGGG